UCUGACCGUCACCGUUGCGCUGCAGUGCCACUGCCAGUGAGCAAGGAUGCGCAUGCGCAAUUGAAUGUUCAUGCCAAUUGACCACAAAUGAUUCCUCUAAACAAGAAGAUACCCACAUUGAAAUGAAUGUAAAACAACGAGGCCCUUACAAAAGAUUUUUGGAUCCAGAAUCGAGUUGCCCCCUUCCAAAGACAAGUCG